rnacentral:tRNA from 1 species
GCCUUCGUGGUGUAGUGGUUCUGCACGCUGGGUCGAUAUUCCAGAGGUCCGUGGUUCGAUUCCCGGCGAAGGCC